rnacentral:rRNA from 1 species
UACGUAGGGUGCGAGCGUUGUCCGGAAUUAUUGGGCGUAAAGGGCUCGUAGGCGGUCUGUCACGUCGGGAGUGAAAACUCGGGGCUUAACUCCGAGCCUGCUUCUGAUACGGGCAGACUAGAGGUAUGCAGGGGAGAAUGGAAUUCCUGGUGUAGCGGUGAAAUGCGCAGAUAUCAGGAGGAACACCGGUGACGAAGGCGGUUCUCUGGGCAUGACCUGACGCUGAGGAGCGAAAGUGUGGGGAGCGAACAGG